rnacentral:rRNA from 1 species
UACGUAGGAUGCAAGCGUUGUCCGGAAUUAUUGGGCGUAAAGAGCGCGCAGGCGGUAUGACAAGUCAGAUGUGAAAGAGGCCGGCUUAACCGGCAAGGGUCAUUUGAAACUGUCAGACUAGAGUGCAGCAGAGGAUAGUGGAAUUCCCGGUGUAGUGGUGAAAUGCGUAGAUAUCGGGAGGAACACCAGUGGCGAAGGCGGCGUCCUGGCCUGCGACUGACGCUGUGGCGCGAAAGCUAGGGGAGCGAACGGG